GGGUCUCAUGAAAUUCCAAAGCUGCUUCACAGCCAAAGAGACAGUUAAACUGAAUGUGGGCCUUCAAUUCCAGCACUUGGGAGGCAGAGACAGGCAAUUCCUUGUGAGUCUGAAACCCACAGACUCUACCAUAGAACUAGACGGGUCACCUGUGGAAUCAUCAGGGGUCCAAGGAUGACUGCGAGCUGGCUUCUCUGAGGUUCUGUCCCAGUAACAGUCAAGUCUUGGAUGGAUCUUCGCCUUGGUUGUCCGUUACCUUAAAACAAAACAACAACAACAAAAGUAAAACUUCAAUCUAGCCAAACAAGCAAGAAGGUGUAACUGCUGCAGAGGAAGUGCAAUCUGCUGCUCCUGGGAUCUAUGCAACUGGCUGCAGGAAAGAGAAUGAGUAAAUUUCAUGUGAAAACCCACCAACCCAAAAACUGAGAAAGAAAGAGACAGAAGAACUCUAAUGCUCAAAAGCUGCUGGCCCACAACAGAGUAUGUCCUAACAGUGAUACUCCUACCGCAUGAAAAGCAGCUCAAGUGUCUUCCACCAUCUUCUGUCAAGUGUUUAAAUAGAUGGCUGCCUGGGGGCUGGGGCUGAUGACGGCAUCUAUUUCAAGGGCCUUACGUUACAGUUUCACAGCAAGACAGCUAGCAGGUUGUAAGACACAUCUGACUUUUGCUGGCAGCAGUGCCUAAGAGGAUGCUAAGGUUUAAAUUAUUGCCCUGAGUCACACUGAAUCCCAUUAGUGUCUGUCAGAAUGCAGCAAUUCAUCAUUAGUAACAGCUCAAUUUUCCCUUGGAGACAAACAAUGUUCAUUCUAUGCUCAAUAUAUAUAUAUAUGUGUGUGUAUAUAUACACAUAUACACACACACACACACACACACACACACACACACACACACACACACACACACACACACAUAUAUAUAGCUUGUUGAGAUGGGCUAUUAUGAACAACUAUAUUAGCAACAGUUUUUAACUCAGUAAGAAGAAAUUCUGUAAGCAGGUCUUCAGCAGAACAGAAUGACCUGAACAACAGCUUCCCGCGGCACCUUUCCUCGGGAGCAGGUUUGUUUAUGCAGUAUCUUUUACAUGAGAGUUCAGCUGUUAAAAAGGAAACACUAUGAGAAACAGCUGGUACAAUAUUCACAACUCCUUUGACCCUGAGAGUGGUACCAUGUAAUUCUGCAACUAGCAGGCAGCACUCAGAACCCACACCCUAGCAGUUGUAUUUGGAUGAGCAAUAAAUCAUUUAUAUUUUUUCACACUUCAUGAUCUUGGAUAUAAAAAAUUGUAUCUUAAACCAAUUAGCCUCAUUUAAUAUCUUAAUUCAUGUGACCUUGUUAUUGCUUUAUAUAUAAACUAAAUGAACUUUAAAUA